rnacentral:rRNA from 1 species
AAUAGAUACCCUGGUAGUCCACGCCGUAAACGAUGAGUGCUAAGUGUUGGGGGGUUUCCGCCCUUCAGUGCUGCAGCUAACGCAUUAAGCACUCCGCCUGGGGGGUACGGUCGCAAGACUGAAACUCAAAGGAAUUGACGGGGGGCCCGCACAAGCGGUGGAGCAUGUGGUUUUAAUUCGAAGCAACGCGAAGAACCUUACCAGGUCUUGACAUCUCCUGACCGCCCUGGAGACAGGGUCUUCCCUUCGGGGACAGGAUGACAGGUGGUGCAUGGUUGUCGUCAGCUCGUGUCGUGAGAUGUUGGGUUAAGUCCCGCAACGAGCGCAACCCUUGGUUCUAGUUGCCAGCAUUGAGUUGGGCACUCUAGAGCGACUGCCGGCGACAAGUCGGAGGAAGGUGGGGAUGACGUCAAAUCAUCAUGCCCCUUAUGACCUGGGCUACACACGUGCUACAAUGGAUGGUACAAAGGGCAGCAAAGCGGCGACGCAUAAGCGAAUACCCAGAAAACCAUUCUCAGUUCGGAUUGCG